ensembl:lncRNA
CACACACACACACACACACACACACACACACACACACACACACACACACACACACACACACACACACACACACACACACACACACACACCAGUACUUUCUCUCUGAUUGUGCCUCAGAGUCCUGUAAACUGAUAUGUAGGCAUGUUUUGCUGUGUUUGGGUGAAUCAGGGAGGCGGUGGAGGACAUAGGCCACGCCAAGUGUCCUGUGACGGUUCUGGAAUGCCUGAAGAGAAAAGCCAUCUCUGCAUUUGGUGAUCCAAAAAGCUGGGGUGAAGCUGAAGCCAGCAUGAUGGGCAACAUCAUGGCUGGUCUGAAUGGCACCGAGCUGGCAAGUCUGAACUCCUCCGUCCUGCCUUUCAUCCGCCAGUCUGCCAUCACUCUCAUUCUUCCUGAACGUCUGGCUGCACUGUCAGUGAACCAGCUGAAAUCUUUGGGCCCUGACAAUGCCGCCAUGGUAACAGAGACCCAGCGGUCAGGGCUGGGAGCGGAGCAGAGGGCGGCUGUGAACGAGUCUUUGGGACUGCCUACGUCUCGCAGUGAAACCAGCACGAGUGCCCCUGUAGCAGUGCCACAAAAAGGAGGGGCACCACAACAGAGCGUGUUGGGAAUCGCAGUGCUUCCUGUUGUGCUGCUGUUGCUGGGAUUUCUUCUCUGAGGAGAACUAGGCUGAAAAGCUCCCUGGGAAUAUUUAUAUCUGAAUCAGCCACUGCUAAUGCAAUACUAAAUAAUACAUACGUCAGAUUAUUUAACAUGUGAAAGUACACAAGUAAAAACAUUUAUAUUAUUAAGUGCAGCAGAGAAAACACCAUCAUUCCUAAUUACGUGUGUUUGAGGUGCAGUUAGAGCACCUUCAGUGAAGUGUCUAUGAAAAGCUCAUUUAAUACUGCUUUGUGAAAAUAGAUGAUAAUUUCUAAGACCUGCGACGGAAGCAUGAGAGAGAUUUGAAUCUAUUCAAGUAAGAAGAAAUAAAGAAAUGCUUUACUGAACAAACCUGGCUGGUUUGAGUCAAUUCUGCAAUUGAAGUCUGUGCAGCGUUACACACAUUACUUAAUUACUUAAAGAACGUAUCGCUGCUCUCGGAGCAAAACCUCCUCUCUCCAUUUUUGUAGUUUUUGAGUUUUGGUCAUGAUUUGAAAAUGCCUGUUGGUUUUUGCAUUGUGUGUGAAUUUCAUGAUAAACGGACCAAAAGAAAUGGCCUUAAAAUGACUUGGGAAGACGUCUGGUUCCAUUGACUUCCAUUAAAAGUGAAGCAUGUUUUUUCCUUCUCCUGUAAAGUUACCGUUUUGGAGAUACGAGGUUUUCUUCCGACAGCAAAGAUAUACAAAACAAAUGUCAGACCAAUAUAUUAUCAGACACCAUAAAGAAUAUGUUAACAGUACAGGAGGAC